rnacentral:rRNA from 1 species
CUUUUGCUGGCGACCGGCGCACGGGUGAGUAACACGUAUCCAACCUGCCCUUUACUCGGGGAUAGCCUUUCGAAAGAAAGAUUAAUACCCGAUAGCAUAAUGAUUCCGCAUGGUUUCAUUAUUAAAGGAUUCCGGUAAAGGAUGGGGAUGCGUUCCAUUAGGUUGUUGGUGAGGUAACGGCUCACCAAGCCUUCGAUGGAUAGGGGUUCUGAGAGGAAGGUCCCCCACAUUGGAACUGAGACACGGUCCAG